UACGUAGGGUCCGAGCGUUGUCCGGAAUUACUGGGCGUAAAGAGCUCGUAGGUGGUUUGUCGCGUUGUUCGUGAAAACUCACAGCUUAACUGUGGGCGUGCGGGCGAUACGGGCAGACUUGAGUACUGCAGGGGAGACUGGAAUUCCUGGUGUAGCGGUGGAAUGCGCAGAUAUCAGGAGGAACACCGGUGGCGAAGGCGGGUCUCUGGGCCGACUACUGACGC
rnacentral:rRNA from 1 species